UACGUAGGGUGCAAGCGUUAAUCGGAAUUACUGGGCGUAAAGCGUGCGCAGGCGGUUCGUUAAGUCAGAUGUGAAAGCCCCGGGCUCAACCUGGGAACUGCAUUUGAAACUGGCGGGCUUGAGUAUGGCAGAGGGGGGUGGAAUUCCGCGUGUAGCAGUGAAAUGCGUAGAGAUGCGGAGGAACACCGAUGGCGAAGGCAGCCCCCUGGGCCAAUACUGACGCUCAGGCACGAAAGCGUGGGGAGCAAACAGG
rnacentral:rRNA from 1 species